rnacentral:rRNA from 1 species
AGAGUUUGAUCCUGGCUCAGAUUGAACGCUGGCGGAAUUCUUUACACAUGCAAGUCGAACGGCAGCACGGGUGCUUGCACCUGGUGGCGAGUGGCGAACGGGUGAGUAAUACAUAGGAACAAACCCAGUAAUGGGGGAUAACGCCGAGAAAUCGGUGCUAAUACCGCAUACGCCCUGAGGGGGAAAGCGGGGGAUCUUCGGACCUCGCGUUAUUGGAUUGGCCUAUGUCUGAUUAGCUAGUUGGUGAGGUAAAGGCUCACCAAGGCGACGAUCAGUAGCUGGUCUGAGAGGAUGAUCAGCCACACUGGAACUGAGAUACGGUCCAGACUCCUAUGGGAGGCAGCAGUGGGGAAUUUUGGACAAUGGGCGAAAGCCUGAUCCAGCCAUUCCGCGUGAGUGAAGAAGGCCUUCGGGUUGUAAAGCUCUUUCGGCAGGAAAGAAAUCGUUACUCUUAAUACGAGUGAUGGAUGAUGGUACCUGAAGAAGAAGCACCGGCUAACUACGUGCCAGCAGUUGCGGUAAUACGUAGGGUGCGAGCGUUAAUCGGAAUUACUGGGCGUAAAGCGUGCGCAGGCGGUUUUGUAAGUCAGAUGUGAAAGCCCCGGGCUCAACCUGGGAAUGGCGUUUGAAACUACAAGGCUAGAGUGUGUCAGAGGGGGGUAGAAUUCCACGUGUAGCAGUGAAAUGCGUAGAGAUGUGGAGGAAUACCGAUGGCGAAGGCAGCCCCCUGGGAUAACACUGACGCUCAUGCACGAAAGCGUGGGGAGCAAACAGGAUUAGAUACCCUGGUAGUCCACGCCCUAAACGAUGUCAACUAGUUGUCGGGAGGGUAACCCUCUUGGUAACGCAGCUAACGCGUGAAGUUGACCGCCUGG